AACCUUUAGCUAAACAAGUAUUAAAGGCAACGCCUGCCCAGUGAAAAUUAAACGGCCGCGGUAUCCUAACCGUGCAAAGGUAGCAUAAUCAUUUGUCUAUUAAUUGUAGACCUGUAUGAAAGGCAAAAUGAGAGCCUGACUGUCUCUUAUAACAAAUCAAUUAAACUGAUCUCUUAGUACAAAAGCUAAGAUACUAACAUAAGACCAGAAGACCCUGUGAAGCUUUAACUAACCUAUUAAAUCCAAUAAUAACUACUUUCGGUUGGGGCGACCUUGGAAUAAAAAAGAACUUCCAACAUAUGACUUCUCAUAAAACAAGGCAAACAAGCCAAUAUUAGACCCAGUAAUACUGAUAAUUGAAAUAAGUUACUCCAGGGAUAACAGCGCCAUCUUCUUUAAGAGCCCAUAUCAAAAAGAAGGUUUACGACCUCGAUGUUGGAUCAGGACACCCCAGUAAUGCAGCCGUUACUAAAGGUUCGUUUGUUCAACGAUUAAUAGUCCUACGUG
rnacentral:rRNA from 1 species